CGCAAUGGGCGAAAGUUUGACGGAGCGACGCCGCGUGGUUGAUGAAGUCCUUAGGGACGUAAAAACCUUUUAUGAUCCAGAAAGUCAUUGAUCAGAUCAUGAAUAAGGGGUUGCUAAACUCGUGCCAGCAGCAGCGGUAAUACGAGUGCCCCGAGCGUUAUCCGGAAUUAUUGGGCGUAAAGGGUGUGUAGGUGGUUUUGUUAGUCUCCCGUUAAAUCUCUUGGCUCAACCAAGAAGCUGCGGGGGAAACGGCAUGACUAGAGGAUGCGAGGGGUCUGCGGAACUCAUGGUGUAGGGGUGAAAUCCGUUGAUAUCAUGGGGAACACCAAAAGCGAAGGCAGCAGACUGGAGCAUUCCUGACCUUUAACACGAAAGCGU
rnacentral:rRNA from 1 species